GAUGAACGCUGGCGGCGUGCUUAACACAUGCAAGUCGAACGAAACACCUUAUUUGAUUUUCUUCGGAACUGAAGAUUUGGUGAUUGAGUGGCGGACGGGUGAGUAACGCGUGGGUAACCUACCCUGUACAGGGGGAUAACAGUCAGAAAUGACUGCUAAUACCGCAUAAGACCACAGCACCGCAUGGUGCAGGGGUAAAAACUCCGGUGGUACGGGAUGGACCCGCGUCUGAUUAGCUGGUUGGUGAGGUAACGGCUCACCAAGGCGACGAUCAGUAGCCGGCUUGAGAGAGUGAACGGCCACAUUGGGACUGAGACACGGCCCAAACUCCUACGGGAGGCAGCAGUGGGGAAUAUUGCACAAUGGGGGAAACCCUGAUGCAGCGACGCCGCGUGAGUGAAGAAGUAUCUCGGUAUGUAAAGCUCUAUCAGCAGGGAAGAAAAUGACGGUACCUGACUAAGAAGCCC
rnacentral:rRNA from 1 species